AAGCGGAGCGGAGAUGAGCAUUGACUCGGGAACGUUCAACGAGCGGUAGGAAUGAAAAGGAGCUACGAGAACAUGGCCCGAGAAACGAACGCUAGAGGAAAACCAGCACGAAGCGGGCGAAAGUAGAGCAGAAGAUAGAAGAAAUGGAGUUUUACGACGACGGGAAAACGAAUCAAUUGAGAAGAGACUGAAGCUGCUGAUUGGAGGACAUUCUCAAUGCUGGAAUAGAAGGAAAACUAGGGUUUUUGCAGUUGACCAAAAAGAGAGUGAAAACAUGUGAGUCAGUGUUGAGGUUGAUGUUUGAUUUUCCCAUGCAAAUUCUCAUGCAGGUUCCAGUGGUCAACACUCCAAAAAUAUAAAUUCAAGACCUUUCACUCUGGACUAGUGAUUUACAGAGUGAGUGAUGGUUUCUGGAAAGCUAGGAUAGUAGCUGAUUGAUAAAAAUGUUUGAAUAAAUGUUAACAUGGUUGCAUGGUUUUCUUUUUCAUUCCUGACAUCCUACCUAUCUAUAUUGGUUUUUGAGAAGAAAUCUUAUCUAGCUAGUUCAAACUGAAAACCCAUCAUGAUGAGUCUGGUUAGUGUUCAUUUGAAGUGUUUUUGGUAGUAAAGUUAUCAAUUUAAACUGGUUAUCUUUUUGGUUUAAAAUGAAAACUCAUCAUGAGUCUGAUUAGUGUUCACUUGAAGUGUUUCUGUUAGUAAGGCUAUCAAUUUAAACUGGUUAUCUUUUUGGUUUAAACUGAAAACCCAUCAUUAGUCUGAUUAGUGUUCAUUUGAAAUGUUUUUGUUAAUAAGGUUAUCAAUUUAAACUGGUUAUCUUUUUGGUUUCACAAGCAAAUUAAAAAGGAUAUUCCUGUAAUAGGUUUUAGUGUUUUUGGUAAGAGUGAACAGGUUGCUGGCAACUGCUAUUGAUUUGGUGAUUGA